CUGCUGCCUUCCGUAGGAGUUUGGGCCGUGUCUCAGUCCCAAUGUGGCCGUCCGCCCUCUCAGGCCGGCUACUGAUCGUCGCCUUGGUGGGCCGUUACCCCGCCAACCAGCUAAUCAGACGCGGGUCCAUCCCGUACCACCGGAGUUUUCAAGAAAGAAACAUGCGUCCCCUUCUGUUAUGCGGUAUUAGCACCUGUCUCCAGGUGUUAUCCCCCGGUACGGGGCAGGUUCCCCACGCGUUACUCACCCGUCCGCCACUAAGGCCCGCGCCUUCCGGGUCU
rnacentral:rRNA from 1 species